UACGGGGGGAGCAAGCGUUGUUCGGAUUUACUGGGCGUAAAGGGCGCGUAGGCGGUCAGCACAAGUCAGUUGUGAAAUCUCCGGGCUUAACUCGGAAAGGUCAACUGAUACUGUGCGGCUAGAGUGCAGAAGGGGCAACUGGAAUUCUCGGUGUAGCGGUGAAAUGCGUAGAUAUCGAGAGGAACACCUGCGGCGAAGGCGGGUUGCUGGGCUGACACUGACGCUGAUGCGCGAAAGCCAGGGGAGCGAACGGG
rnacentral:rRNA from 1 species